CUUUCUAAGUUUAAAAAAAAUAAUAAAAUUUGAGCUAAUUCCAGUUAAGAAAGUUUCAGUUACUUGCUGGGUUGUAUUGUCCUUUUAAUAUUCAAAGCUUCAGCGAAAGCAUGGGGAUUGUUGCUUUUAGAAACACCUCAGGUCUCAUCUGCACUCUGCUUUCUGUUGAGCUAAAGCAGAUCCCCCCCAAAAAAACAAACAGGUAAACAAAAAAAAAAAACAAACACACACACACACAAAUGAAGAACAAAAUAAAACACCAUUGGUAGACUUGUUGUGAAUGCAACGAACAUUUAAUCCCUUUGUUUUCCCAGGUGGUGUGGAUGAUACUGGCUGCACUGUUGGAGCUUGGAUUCGGAGAGGAAGAGUGAAUGCUGGUACUCUGUUUUUGCAGCUGAUGAUGAGCCUUCAGUUGACUAAGAUGACAAUCGGUGCCUGUGUAUUUCUUGAGGCAGAGGGACUUUACCAUGCAGCAACCUGAGAGCUAAGUUGGGGGGCACCUGGUAUUUGCAUAUCUGGGGUGGCUAAUGGGAGCUG